UGUAUAAUGGGUCAGCGACUUAUAUUCUGUAGCAAGGUUAACCGAAUAGGGGAGCCGAAGGGAAACCGAGUCUUAACUGGGCGUUAAGUUGCAGGGUAUAGACCCGAAACCCGGUGAUCUAGCCAUGGGCAGGUUGAAGGUUGGGUAACACUAACUGGAGGACCGAACCGACUAAUGUUGAAAAAUUAGCGGAUGACUUGUGGCUGGGGGUGAAAGGCCAAUCAAACCGGGAGAUAGCUGGUUCUCCCCGAAAGCUAUUUAGGUAGCGCCUCGUGAAUUCAUCUCCGGGGGUAGAGCACUGUUUCGGCAAGGGGGUCAUCCCGACUUACCAACCCGAUGCAAACUGCGAAUACCGGAGAAUGUUAUCACGGGAGACACACGGCGGGUGCUAACGUCCGUCGUGAAGAGGGAAACAACCCAGACCGCCAGCUAAGGUCCCAAAGUCAUGGUUAAGUGGGAAACGAUGUGGGAAGGCCCAGACAGCCAGGAUGUUGGCUUAGAAGCAGCCAUCAUUUAAAGAAAGCGUAAUAGCUCACUGGUCGAGUCGGCCUGCGCGGAAGAUGUAACGGGGCUAAACCAUGCACCGAAGCUGCGGCAGCGACGCUGAUGCGUUGUUGGGUAGGGGAGCGUUCUGUAAGCCUG
rnacentral:rRNA from 1 species